rnacentral:lncRNA from 1 species
GAAGAAACCCUCUAACCCCUACAACACCCAGUGAAGUAACGCGAAACCCAAGAAUGGUUGAUUGCACUCCAGAUCUACCAUUUCUAUUUCCCCACUGUUAUCUUGCGAGAAGGAAACGUUGAAGUAGAAGCUGGUGUGGAUGAUUCAACUCCAACAUGCAUGCAUUACUGUCGCUUUUUUGCCAAGAAAAUUCUUAGGAUUUACAAGGCAUGACAACGCUGUUGGGCGCUCCAUCUUAUAUAUGAAUGGGCAUGAUGACAUUGUCUGGCUGCUAUUACGGUUGCAGCAAGGAAGAGAUCAUUGAAAUAACGAAGACUUUCAACUUAGCGAAACAAAUUACAUUGAAAUUGAAUUGAGUUAUAGAUUCCGAAGAAAGGCUCUAACCCGACAAUACCCAGUCAAGUAACCCAAAACCCAAGAAUGGUUGAUUACACUCCUGAUCUACCAUUUCCAUUUCCCCACUGUUCAUUAUGUGAAGAAGAAGCAGCUGUGGUGGAUGAUUCAACCUCAACAUGCAUGCAUAACUCUCGCUUUCAUACAAAAAAAAGGAUUUACAAGGCAUGACAACGCUGCUGGACGCUCCAUCUUAUAUAUGAAUGGGCAUGAUGACAUUGUCUGGCUGCUAUUAGGGUUGCAGCAGGGAAGAGAUCAUUGAAAUAGCAAUGACUUUCUAAUUAGUUCGGAGUUGCUUGAGCAGGCACAGAUGCACGUUCAUGUAAUUGGGGGCACAAUAAUGGUUGAUUACACUCCAGAUCUACCAUUUCCCUAUUGUUGUUUUGCGAGAGGGAAACGUUGAAGAAGGAGAACAAUAAGCUGUGGUGGAUGAUUCAACUCCAACAUUCAUGCAUUACUUUCGCUUUCAUACAAAAAGGUACAUUUUCUUUGAUGUAAAUGCAUAUGGUUUGAAGGUUUUUGAUGUUUAAACUUAAAAUGGUUUCUGGAGAGGCAUGCCACACCUUUUCUAAUUACUUCUGAGGAAAUUUAUUUAGAUAUGCCUGUCCAUGGUGGAGAGAGAUUGACUCUUAGAAAGAACAGUCGUCUAAGUCCUGAGGAAACUAUAGUACUUCGAGUCUUGGACAUCAAAUGAUGAAUAGAUGUCUUCGAUGUUAAAAUGGUUUGAGGCGAAGCAUGCUACUCAUGUUCUAAUAAGUAAUAACUUCUUAGCUAUGCAGAUAUGCUUGCCAUGGUGGAAAGAGAAAGACUCUUGAGUAGAAAAGGGCACUUAAUUCCUGACGAAGCUUCAACACUGUUGGAUAUCAAUUUACUGCCGGGGGUUUAUACUAAGCAGAGAGAAGAACGGACGCCUCAGAAAGCCUUCCCAAAUCUACUUUGUGAAUUUUCGCCAUUGUUUUCCAAAACUGAAACUGGCUUAUCUGCAUUAAGUCAAUAGGUUUAGAAGAAGCCAUUGUCCGAUCCUCCCUCAGAACAUGAUCCUUUGAGCUAUUCGUAUGUAGUGGCUGUAUGGGUUUAAAAAAUUUCACACAACUCACCCAAGCCCAAUACUCAAAGAAGCCCAAAAUGCUUCAUUUCAAGCCUAACAUUCCCCACUCAAAGCAAAUGCCACAAAUCUAUUUCGCUUUAAUUACAAAGGAAAAUGUUGAAGAGGAAGUGGUAGAUGGUUGAGCUCGACCAUUACUGUAAAUUUUUAAGAUAUACAUAAACAGAAAACUGGAGGAUCCAGUACUCUCCUAUCUUUAACGUUGGGAAGAGAUCUUGAAUUAACAAAAAUGUCGAAGCAUCUGCCUUUCAUCUUAUUAAAACAAAUCGUACUAGACUUGCAGAACCUUGGUAUUUGCAACAAAUCAUUCUGCUCCACACAUGAUAGCAUGUAUAUCAAUCUUAAAGUCUAAGUAGAUAUGAUUCUCUAUGGUGGUGGGAAGAGAGAGAGAACUCUGAGAAGGAAAGGGCACUUGACUCCUGAGGAAACUACAACUACGAGCCUUGGCCAUCAAUUGAAAUAUUCAACUUUUCAUUUUGAUGUGGAAAUUUAAUAAAUCUAAGAAUUGAAGUUUUGGGUAAAAUCCUUCCCAAAUCUAGUUUGAGAUCAAACUUGCUUCAUGAUGGGGUUUAGAUGGCUACUUCAUGGCGGGAAUGUGCAGUAUUGAAGGAAAUUAACUCACUGAUGACCAGAGACUUUGUAUUUCAUUUUUCAUUAUUGAACCGUAGUUUUUAGUUUUUACGUUAUUCAGUUGCUCUUUAAACAUAUUAAGGUGAAUUCUGUAAUAUGAGAAGAGUAAAAUAAGAUUUUCUAUGCCAUAAAGUUUUCCAUAUUCAUACAAUUAUAUUUUAUCGUUGUUCCAAUUUAUUUUUUAAAU